GGCGGACGGGUGAGUAAUGCAUAGGAAUCUACCUAGUAGUGGGGGACAACCUGGGGAAACUCAGGCUAAUACCGCAUACGACCUACGGGUGAAAGUGGAGGACCUUCGGGCUUCACGCUAUUAGAUGAGCCUAUGCCUGAUUAGCUUGUUGGUAGGGUAACGGCCUACCAAGGCGACGAUCAGUAGUUGGUCUGAGAGGACGACCAGCCACACUGGGACUGGGACACGGCCCAG
rnacentral:rRNA from 1 species